rnacentral:rRNA from 1 species
GAGCGGACAGAUGGGAGCUUGCUCCCUGAUGUUAGCGGCGGACGGGUGAGUAACACGUGGGUAACCUGCCUGUAAGACUGGGAUAACUCCGGGAAACCGGGGCUAAUACCGGAUGCUUGAUUGAACCGCAUGGUUCAAUUAUAAAAGGUGGCUUUUAGCUACCACUUACAGAUGGACCCGCGGCGCAUUAGCUAGUUGGUGAGGUAACGGCUCACCAAGGCAACGAUGCGUAGCCGACCUGAGAGGGUGAUCGGCCACACUGGGACUGAGACACGGCCCAGACUCCUACGGGAGGCAGCAGUAGGGAAUCUUCCGCAAUGGACGAAAGUCUGACGGAGCAACGCCGCGUGAGUGAUGAAGGUUUUCGGAUCGUAAAACUCUGUUGUUAGGGAAGAACAAGUACCGUUCGAAUAGGGCGGUACCUUGACGGUACCUAACCAGAAAGCCACGGCUAACUACGUGCCAGCAGCCGCGGUAAUACGUAGGUGGCAAGCGUUGUCCGGAAUUAUUGGGCGUAAAGCGCGCGCAGGCGGUUUCUUAAGUCUGAUGUGAAAGCCCCCGGCUCAACCGGGGAGGGUCAUUGGAAACUGGGGAACUUGAGUGCAGAAGAGGAGAGUGGAAUUCCACGUGUAGCGGUGAAAUGCGUAGAGAUGUGGA